AUUGAACGCUGGCGGCAUGCCUUACACAUGCAAGUCGAACGGCAGCGGGGGAGAAGCUUGCUUUUCCUGCCGGCGAGUGGCGAACGGGUGAGUAAUACAUCGGAACGUGCCCUGUAGUGGGGGAUAACUAGUCGAAAGAUUAGCUAAUACCGCAUACGACCUGAGGGUGAAAGUGGGGGACCGCAAGGCCUCAUGCUAUAGGAGCGGCCGAUGUCUGAUUAGCUAGUUGGGGGGGUAAAGGCCUACCAAGGCGACGAUCAGUAGCUGGUCUGAGGGGACGAUCAGCCACACUGGGACUGAGGCACGGCCCAGACUCCUACGGGAGGAAGCAGUGGGGAAUUUUGGACAAUGGGCGAAAGCCUGAUCCAGCAAUGCCGCGUGUGUGAAGAAGGCCUUCGGGUUGUAAAGCACUUUUGUCCGGAAAGAAAUGGCUCUGGUUAAUACCUGGGGUCGAUGACGGUACCGGAAGAAUAAGGACCGGCUAACUACGUGCCAGCCGCCGCCGUAA
rnacentral:rRNA from 1 species